AAGCAAAAGCAUCAAUUCUUAAGAAAUAAAAAUCUAUUAGUAUCUAUUUUGAUGCUUCUUUUGAGAUAUUUAAUGUACUUAUCAUACCUCCCAACUUGAGCUUUGCUCGUCCUUGAGUAAAGAAAGAAAUUAGCGUUAGAUACCUUCAUACUUUGAAAUGGAUAUAUUAUCAAGUAAUUUUUCUAAACAGUCCAUUGAUAUUUCAAAGAACAUUGUUAAGAUAGGUCAUAGGGAUAUUAAUACU
rnacentral:lncRNA from 1 species